rnacentral:rRNA from 1 species
UACAGAGGGUGCAAGCGUUAAUCGGAAUUAUUGGGCGUAAAGCGCACGUAGGUGGUUAAAUCAGUUGGGUGUAAAAUUUCCGGGCUUAACCUGGAGCGGUCACCCAAUACUAUUUAGCUGGAGUAGGGAAGAGGGAAGUGGAAUUCUCGGUGUAGCGGUGAAAUGCGUAGAUAUCGGGAGGAACACCAGUGGCGAAGGCGGCUUCCUGGUCCACUACUGACACUGAGGUGCGAGUGCGUGGGGAGCAAACAGG